UACGGGGGGGGCAAGCGUUGUUCGGAAUUACUGGGCGUAAAGGGCUCGUAGGCGGCCAACUAAGUCCGACGUGAAAUCCCCAGGCUUAACUUGGGAACUGCGUCGGAUACUGGUUGGCUUGAAUCCGGGAGAGGGAUGCGGAAUUCCAGGUGUAGCGGUGAAAUGCGUAGAUAUCUGGAGGAACACCGGUGGCGAAGGCGGCAUCCUGGACCGGCAUUGACGCUGAGUGAGCGAAAGCCAGGGGAGCAAACGGG
rnacentral:rRNA from 1 species